AAUUUCACACCUGGAUGUGCUCACUCAACCAAGAAUAUAGAGAAAGAGCUUCUGCCCUGAGACUCAGAAAAAUAUUCUCUGCCUCGGUUCAGUAUAGAUUCUAGACCCUGGUCAUUGCCCGAGAGAUAUUCACUGGGG
rfam:Oryctolagus cuniculus cont2.35476, whole genome shotgun sequence.